rnacentral:tRNA from 1 species
GGAGUGGUGGUUCAGUGGUCGAAUCCUCACCUUUCACGUGAGAGACGCAGGUUUGAUUCCCGGCCAGUACUG